CCUACGGGAGGCAGCAGUGAGGAAUAUUGGUCAAUGGACGAGAGUCUGAACCAGCCAAGUAGCGUGAAGGAUGACUGCCCUAUGGGUUGUAAACUUCUUUUAUAUGGGAAUAAAACGUUCCACGUGUGGGAUUUUGUAUGUACCAUAUGAAUAAUGAUCGGCUAACUCCGUGCCAGCAGCCGCGGUAAUACGGAGGAUCCGAGCGUUAUCCGGUUUUAUUGGGUUUAAAGGGAGCGUAGGUGGAUUGUUAAGUCAGUUGUGAAAGUUUGCGGCUCAACCGUAAAAUUGCAGUUGAAACUGGCAGUCUUGAGUACAGUAGAGGUGGGCGGAAUUCGUGGUGUAGCGGUGAAAUGCUUAGAUAUCACGAAGAACUCCGAUUGCGAAGGCAGUUCACUGGACUGCAACUGACACUGAGGCUCGAAAGUGUGGGUAUCAAACAGGAUUAGAUACCCCAGUAGUC
rnacentral:rRNA from 1 species